AGCGAGUUGAGAUGGAGAAGCACAUGCAAAGGAUCACCGAGUUUGGGAUGAGGAGGCCUGGCAACAAGCACUCCCACAGGAUCCGUGAGGUGGAGAAUCUGGAGAAGCCAGUGGUUGAGGCAAAUCACUCGGCCAAUUCUGGAGGUUCGCAUUUGGCUGCUCGUGUACACGACUCAGAUGCCAAGCCUUCCACCUCGGAGGUUAAGCUUGAGCUCGACGGAGCUUAGAGCGAAAGGAGGUACGCUUUUCGCUCGUUUUGGACUGAUGAUACGCUUGAGGUUGCAGGCACAGAAUGAAGAUUCAUGAAACAAAUUACUUCGGUUUUUUAAAACCGCAACAGGCAAA